rnacentral:rRNA from 1 species
UACAGAGGGUGCGAGCGUUAAUCGGAAUUACUGGGCGUAAAGGGUGCGUAGGUGGUUAUUUAAGUUAGGUGUGAAAGUCCUGGGCUUAACCUGGGGAUUGCGCCUAAUACUGAGUGACUAGAGUACUGUAGAGGAAGGUGGAAUUUCCAGUGUAGCGGUGAAAUGCGUAGAUAUUGGAAGGAACAUCUGUGGCGAAGGCGACCUUCUGGACAGAUACUGACACUGAGGCACGAAAGCGUGGGGAGCAAACAGG